GGCAGGCCUCCCAUGGUAAUCAACAAAGGAUGGCACAUCAAGUUGAGGCAGAACCAAGCUCCAUCCCCUGCAUCAAAGAUGGGAGAGGCAACCCAGCAUGGAGAAUGGGAUCUCAACAGCUAGCUCAAGCACCAAGGACAGGUCCUGAUCGCACUGCUAGGAUCCUCACAAGCAGACCAAGCUGCCCAACUGUAACACACAUACAGAGCUGAGCUGCACACUCUCGUUCAUAUGUCUCUGCCUCCUGACUGUGGACACAAUUUGACCAGCCCUGACGUACUGCUGCAGCUACAACUUCCCUGCCAUGAUAGAUGGUAACCUUACAAACCACAAGCAGUAACUAAAGCAUCAGAUUUUCCUACCCUUCGUUCUUCAGCAAGCAAUCAGCCACCAAGCUGAUUGGCCCAACUUCUCAACCACAAGACCUCCUCUCAACAGGGUGCUGCCCAUUGACUCGGAAACUGUGAGCCACAAAACCUGGAAACUUUCAAGGAACCAGUUCAGUGCUAUUAAUAGGGCCCUGGUCGAAUGCCAAUAGGAGUAAGUAGUGUCUCAAACAGCUUCAGACAUAGUCACUAGGAGAGAAGAGUUUGCUUGUUUGUCAGGAUCUCCACUUGUAUCUCUCACAAAAAUCAUCUUGUACAAAUCAUUCAGGUUUUCUAAUCCGAAGUGACAGUGACCACCACUGGGAGGCUGUCAAAAUGUCUGGGCAUCCCCAGAUAGGAUGUUCUGCUUAUGAACUACGUGCCUCUGCUACCCAGCUCCAGAUGGAAACAGAAUCUGUCCAGGAGCCCUUUGCAAUGCUGGAAAACUCAUCCCAAGGGAAAAUCCUUCCUGGGGCCUGCCACUGGAUUUCAGAAAUCUCUCCCAAACUGAUGGUCAAUGCUGGAUUUUGAGUGAGCAAACAGUAUUGAUGACAGAGUUCCAAGGGCUGGAUGGAUUGAUUAGCUAGCUACAGGCUAAAACUGAAACUUGACCUCAAGGUCUUGGGAUUUGAAAGCCUCCUCACAAGGUCCAGAUAGGUGUGUUAUAAGUGGGACUUUGUGAGGGGAUCUAGGAACUGGGAUGGUUUUCAUGCCUUUCUCAGAUGACCACUUGGACUUUUUCAUGAUUUACUGCCUUAAGGGCAGUCUUGCAGAUACUGACCAGGAGGCAAGUUGGAAAUUGAUUCCUAGCUAGGAUGCCCCUGGUGUAUUGUAAUUCUAUUUAGAGUCCUCAUUAAGGACUGCCUCAGCCCUGACUGGGUGGGCAGCCUAUAGCUUGAGUGUGUGCCAGGUGUGUGUAUGCUACAGGGGGCCUACUCCUUUGUUUUCUGCCCCUCAAACUGGGUCUGGUUCCCACUUUGCAACAAACUUACAGAUCCAUCAACAGUAACUUAAAAGACAGGACAUUUAUACAGUAUAUGUGUGAGAAGACAAGACAAAAACAAAUAGGGCUUGGAGUGGAGAACAAUACUGGGAUCUAGGGUACCCUGACACAGUCAUUUGGACUGAUUAUCUAAGGGUUAUUGAGGCCAAAUUUCACUGUAAGUUUAUGCCCUUCAGGUAGGGUGCUAGGUGUAGAGGCUGGGGGCUUUCUAAGAGGCAAACCAAGAGGAAGUGAGAGGGUAUGGAAGAUACCAUUCAUAUGGAUGAGAGAAGGAAAAUGGCCUGUAGUCAUGGGCAUCACCAAGACUUAGAAAGUACCAAACUACUAAGUGGGCCAUCACCACAUUCACCAAGAAUCAGAGGCUUAGCCUGGCUAAGCCAGAGGAGAGACUCAGAGCCUAGUACCAGGGCUUUUAUAGAGUCCAGAAGGCAAGGAUAAAAAUUGAGCUCUGGGGGGUCUCAUCCAUGGGGAAGAGUCAAGAAUGGAGUCACAAAACUACAAGGGCCUAGAGGAGUUGUGGCAACUGCCCUUACCUCUAUUACUUGUCCAAAGUGGACAAGCAGGACACAAAGGAAGUGGAAUGCUGAACUUGGCCAAGACAAGAACCCAGGACCAUCUGCCCAGGAGCGGCAUCACUCACAGUGGGAUGGGCACAAUUAAGAAAAUUCCCCACAGCCCUGCACACAGACCAAUCCGAUGGAGUUGGCCUGUUUGCCUAUGUUGGAACACAGUCAAAAGAAUAAUGCAUGGUGAACAAUGCCUUGGAGACGGAUGACAGACGCUUCAAGAAAAAAGUCAGAAGAUCUUACAGCUCAGAUCCUUCAUCCGACGAUGGAUGGCGAUACAGACGGAGACCCAC